AAUGUUCAGAUCUCGCGAACUUGAGUCAUCGACGAAAUGAACAAAAGUGAAAAAAAAACGAUCGCCGAUAGCGACAGAAAUUCAUAGUUCGAUUCAUUCCACGAGUCACAACUGAAUAAAUAAUCGAAAAAAAAAAACAAAGUACCGAAACGUCUGUGGACUGUUAAAGUUUUUGUCGAAAAUAAAGUAAAUUUUUCGACUAAUCGAGAAGAGGUACAAGCGUAUCGGAAUCGACUCACGAUUUGACCAUUUUAUUUCGAUUUAUUCGAUUGAAGCUCAAAGUCGAAAGAAUUUUGUUUUUACGAAGAAUUUGAGGCUCUACAGACAUUUUUAUAUCCAAAAGUGACGACCUGGACGAUCCAAAAACAUUGAAAAAUUCAAGUUCUGUUACUCCCUUAAUACCAAAUCCUCGAUUGAGUCGAAAAAUUUGGUGCAGUCCACAGGAUAAUACUAGCACCUUGCAAAGGUGGUUACUCCGAAGAGGGAAGCCACUGGCGUGAUGGAAAUCAGCCUACAAAACGACGUCGAGGUUCCGGACGACCUGGAAUCUUGGACAAGUUCCCCUUAUAGGAGGAGACUUCCAAGGAGAAACUCCACGAGAACGAGCCUCCUGGACGAUGUUCCGAGAGGAGCGGAUACUCUGGAAAAUUCCUUCUGGAGGGGGUCACGCCCCCGGAGGAACCUGAUGAGAAAAAGCCUCGACGAAGAUCCGGAAGAAGCGUAUGCGUCGAGGAGUUUCGGUUGCAGGGAGUCAUGCUCGAGCAGGAAAAAUGCCGUGGGAGCGAACCUUCGAGACGGAGUUCCGGAAAAACAAAAUCCUUCGGGAAGCUCCUCUUACUUGGGAUCAAACUCGAUAAAAAACGCAGUACGACUAUUUCAUCCGGACGAAUUUCCAGAAGAAAUGGACCCCUCGAAAAGCUUCUGUUACAGGGGAACUUGCUCGAAGAGGAACCUGGCACUAAUGAGCUCUCAAAACCCACUUGCAGAAGAAAUGGAUUCGUGCCUAAAUGGGUGACGAGCUGCGAAAAAAAAAAACAAUAUUAAUAAAUUAGUCAAAACACACUAUUCUCGAGCACAAAAUGAAUGUGAAAUUUGAUUUUUUCAAUUAUUCUUUUAUCUUUGUAUUUGAUUCAAUGUCAUCGUAAUGGUACGAUCGUUUUAUGGCGAACUUGCGAAGAAUAAAAGUAGAAGCGUUUCGAUUCAUGGAAA
rnacentral:lncRNA from 1 species